rnacentral:snRNA from 1 species
GGAUGUGAGGGUGAUCUGGCUGCGACAUCUGUCACCCCAUUCAUUGCCAGGGUUGAUUCGGCUGAUCUUGCUGGCGAGGCAGGUAUCCCCUUUCUCCCUCACCACUCCAUGUGCAUCUCUCCCAAAGCUGCAUACUCGUCUGAAAAGAAUGACCUUCCCCGAUAGUAGAGGACUAUUCUUCCAUCAAGAGCGUAUGAAUAGUUGUGCUCCCCUCCAAACAAGCUCCCAAAUACUUUGUUGAUAUUUCGAGCUGUCUGCACUGCUCUGUUUCCACGACAGGACUCAUAUUCGAAAAUAACAUGAAUUUUUU